UAUUCACUCUCCUCUUCUCUCUAACUCUCUCCUCUCUCCCUCUCUCCUCUCUCGCUUUCUCGCACCUUUUUUACCUUCAAUGGCGACGAUGUUAGCUCGGAAAUCUCUUCACGCUAUUCGUUCUCGUCAGCUCGUAAGGCUUCUCCUCACUCUUUAAACCCUAGAUUUUCAAUUUUUGUAACAAUUUCUCUCUGAAAUUGCUAAAUUACUGCACGAUUUAUAAGGUUCUAUAUUGUUCACCCUCUUUGAUAAAACCCUAAACAAGGAAACAAACUCGUCGACGCCGAAGCAACGUUGUUCUCUCCGGUGAUUCCAAAACUUCGUUCUUCAAUAGUCCGGUUGCAGUCUCGCAUAAUGGUUAGCUGUCAGGCUUCCCAAUACUUUUAUCUGAGAGUAGAAAAUUGCAUUAUCCCACGGAUAUGAGAUUAUUAAUUGGUAAUACAUUUGCCUUUUGUAAUAUACUCCUGCAGUUCCUAAAUAAUAAACCACAUUUGAUCUGAUGUUAUUUUUUAGGAAACAUAGCAUAACUUUUGCUCUUUUUCCAGUUUUUCAUUCUUUUCUAUUAAAUCUUCACCACAUCACCAAAAAGGUAGUAUUCCACUAAAACUAUUAGUAAGAACAUCAUUAAGUAUGCUAUGAGAAGUUUUAGUUACAACUUACUAUCUAGAAUGACUUCUUUUUUUCCGAAACGACCCAAAAUAGAAACGUGGCUUAUUUAAGGAUGGAUGUACUAUAUUCCUAUCUGAUUCAUCAGUCCUUCACUCAAAGUAGCUUACUUGAUUAGGUUCUUUUUAAGUUUUUUAAUGCUAAUGUUGCAAACUUUUUCAUCUGGCUAUGCUUAAUCUUAGUUUUGACUUGUUAUUAGCUUGUAAAUUUGUUGCAUUUUUACUCUUUUUGAGCUAAACUCUUGUGGGAAAUUAUUUUUUUCCAUCUAUAAAUUUGAUCAAAUCUUUAUACUAAAGUCCCUGCUUCUCUAUUUACUCCGUAGGAAGUAUAUGUUUUUGCACCUAGCUACCCCGCAACUAUAUUAUGCUGAGUUAUAUGUAUUAUUCUGAAUCUACCGUUCUGUUGCUACACAAUAAUAUAUGGCAAAAGGCAUUGGUUUAUUUCACUAGCUUUGUAAAUCUUUGAAUCUAUUCCCGAUGUCAUUGGUCUCUCUUGAGAGUUAGUUAUGAAUGUUGAUAUUUCUAUUCUGCAAUGCUGACACGUGGAUUGGUGAUGAUAUGUGAUAUAUGUUGAGAAGGAAAUCUUAUUGUUGGGUAACAGAUAAAGACCUAUGUGUUAUGUCUAAAACUUGUCAUAACUUUACUGAAUUCUUUAGUGCAGCAGGAAGUAACUGCAAAUUGAAACCCUAAAUUCACUAGAAGUAACUGUCUUACUUUCUUUAAUUUGAGCAUCACAUCGUUCUUUUCUUACGUUAGUGCGUUUUUCUGUUAAUUUUUCGAGCAUUUCAUCCUAUACCUCCGUCAAAAGUUGCUGAUCCAAGACCUGGACCAGCCAAGCCUUCACAGGAUGGAACACAGAGUCUAAUUCAUUUCAAGAUCUGCAUAUUCCUGUGAAAAUGAUGGAAGAUUUCUUGAGACUGGCUCAACAAAAUACGAAAAAGAAUCUUGAAACAUGUGGAAUUCUAGCAGGUUCACUGAAAAAUCAGGUGUUUCAUAUUACUUCUUUAAUUAUUCCAAAGCAAGAGUCAACUUCUGAUUCUGUAAGUUUGUUCUUUUAUUCCAAAUAGAUUCUUGUGAUUUGGAUCGGUUUGUUUUAAUUAGUUUUAAUUACUAUGUCCGGUUGUAGCUGGAUGCUGUGAACGAUUUUAUAUUCCUGAAAAGAACUGGAAAUUUGUAAAUUUGGCCUUGAAAAGUGUACCUUUCUUACAUCAUUUUCAAAUUCAUCCAAAGGAUGGUUCAAGGAUGAUGUAAAAGGAAAGGAUGUCGUCAUCUAGACAAAGUUGCUAGAGGUAACUACGUAUCUAUGAAGUUUCUCCUCACAUGUCAAACCCCAGCUCUGCUCUUCUAUCGAUUUCUUGUUAUUUUUAGUGUUUGAUCAGUUCGGAUAUGAAUUCUAAUCAAAACAUUCAGUGAAAUGUGAAUUUGAGUGAAUUAUUGUUAGUAAUGUAAAUUACCUGGAUGUAUUCUUCUGUAUUCUGGUGCCUGUUAAAAUUUUCUAUUAUUGUCUACUUUGAAGAAAUUACAUUGUGAUUGUCUUUCUGUAUUAUUGCAGAAAAUCUUUGACGAUUUCUCUAUUAGUGCCGUUAUAUCCUAUCGAAACCACAAUGAAGUUAUAAAGUCAUUAGGUUUUAUGUAUAUCUUGUGCUGUCAGUUUUUCUACUUCAUUUACAUGAUAAAUUGUCCUGCGUGCCAUUCCAGCAAUUUGAUUUCCUUUUGACUUGUAUGAUGAUCAAUUCAAUGAUAUCGACCGACUCAUCCCCUCUUUUGUUUAAUUUAGUUGAUCUAGGUUUGUAAACAGAAGAUCAGCUAUAAGGUAAUGCAUGUAUUUGUUUAAAACUGAUAUGUCCUGUCUAUAGAUGAGGUAACUGAUAUGUCCUGUGCUUGCAGAAUUUGGAUUCAAAAAUUGUUUUGUAGAAUGAGAAGAGAGAAAAAGCGGUCAAAGCAAGUCGUGAUAUCACUAUGAACAGUUAAACAGUGAUUUUCCAGGAUUUGAUCCUAAGCUAAACCUUCUUCUUUGAAGUAGUUGAUGGCUGCCUUGUCAUUUUAUUCGGGCACGCUUUUCUGAUCCUACUCUAUCUAAGAGGCAAAAUCGGGAGCUCUGGCUGUCACUGCUGCAUACAAUAUUUACUUAUUCUCUUAGUUGGUUCAUUUGAUGAACGAUGUUUCCUUUUUGCUCUUGGGCAGUUUAUGCAAGUACUUAAUGGUCGCUUCAGGUAGAGCAUUUGUUUUCAUAAAUCGAGCAAGGGCUCAAACUAUUAUGAAGGUAUUGGCCUGUAUCUUUGUCUUUCACUUAGGCUAUUAUUGCAGUGAGAUCUUGGAAUUUGUUGGAAAGUCCUUUUAACUUCUUUAUGUGGCUUGACACUUCAACUCCAUGAACAAGUAGGCUUGGGACCAUGCUGUUGGCAUGAUUUGUGUGCAUGAAGCUGGUGGAAAGGUUGGGAUCACCCAUUCUCGCUAGUUUGUAACAUAUGCCAUAUCUUACUUCAGUCUAAACUCUCAAAAAUGUUAUCUGCUACCUUUUAGAAUGCACAUGCCACCUUGUAAGUUUAUCAGAUCUAAUCUCAAUGAACCAGGUUACAGAUUGGAGAUGUAGUGAAAUCAAUCUUGCUCCUGAUGAAAUGGGGCGUAGAACUAUGGUUCCUUUAGGUGGUGUGGUGGUGACAAAUGGAACAUUGCACGGUCAGAUCCUGGGGUUAAUGUCUUCGAAGUCAUCAGUUUUACCAUAGAUAUGUUACUGCAACCAGGUAUUCACCGGCGUUGUCGUAUUUGGCUACAUUAUCAUAGUAUUUGUUCAUUAUCCUACUAGUUGAUUUGCUGAUCAAUAUUAUAUAACAUGAGGUUUAUAUCUAUUCUAGAAUAUUUAGAAUUCUUUAGCUGUAAGUAUUAUGAUGGACUAAAUCAUAAUGGCUUACUAGACUAUAUGUACUUAUUAAAUACUUCUAUGUAGAAGUGGACAGUUGUUGCCUCUUUCCUUUUAUUAAGGUUCUGAUGGAAAUAACUUUUCAGCUAUUGCAACUAUUUUGUGCACGGUCUAAAGAAGCGAGAAAGGAAGGACAAGCGAAAGGCUGCUGAUUCAGACAAGAAAGCCGGAGAGGGUUCAAAGAAGGUGGCUGCAUCUGCUAAGUAAAUCUUGUUUCUUUUCUUGUAGUCAACAACAGUUGAGAGAGAUGAUACAAAAGGUUUUGGUUCUCUAUAUAUGCAGCUCGGAAUUUUUUGGGAAAAGAGGGUACAUUUACGGUGUUUAGAAUUUUGCUCCAUCCCUUUCAAUUAUGUAUUCGUAAUUUUGGUGAUUAGAAGCGUGUUUGUUUUCAA